rnacentral:rRNA from 1 species
AUAGAGACUCAGAGCUGCAUAUCAAUAAGCGGAGGAAAAGAAACUAACAAGGAUUCCCCUUAGUAACGGCGAGUGAAGCGGGAAGAGCUCAAAUUUGAAAUCUUCAAGGGUUCUACCUUGACGAAUUGUAGUUUAAAGAAGUGUUUUCUGUUAGAGAGGUGGUAAAAGUUCUUUGGAAUAGGACAUCAUAGAGGGUGAGAAUCCCGUAUUUGAUCACUUUCUACUAACGUUGUGAUACACUUUCAAAGAGUCGGAUUGUUUGGGAAUGCAGUCCAAAAUGGGUGGUAAAUUUCAUCUAAAGCUAAAUAUUGGCGAGAGACCGAUAGCGAACAAGUACCGUGAGGGAAAGAUGAAAAGAACUUUGAAAAGAGAGUUAAACAGUACGUGAAAUUGUCAAAAGGGAAGCGUUUGACACCAGUGUUGUUUUUCCGAAAAUCAAUUACGAAUGUUUUGUUUUUAAGAAGUUAUGACUUCAUCGGCUUGCUUCUUUCUUUACGAAACUUUCUUAAUGCACUUUUCGGUUAACAAGUCAACAUCAAUUUCUUUUGUUGUAAAAGGGUAAUGAGGAAGGUGGCUUUACUUUCGGGUAAAGUGUUUAUAGCCUUUUACCUCUGCAAUCGGAGAGAUUGAGGUCUGCAGCGUAGAUCCUUCGGGGUUAGAUACGUUUGUGCUAAGUUAUAGCUUUGCAUAGACAACUUGUUGACUAUGUUUAGUCUUGUAGCUUACUCGCUGACGCUAUUUUACCUACGCUUAGGAUGUUGAUAUGCAUGACUGAUAU